rnacentral:rRNA from 1 species
UACCAGCACCCCGAGUGGUCGGGACGAUUAUUGGGCCUAAAGCAUCCGUAGCCGGUUCUGCAAGUCCCCCGUUAAAUCCAGCUGCUCAACAGAUGGGCCGCGGAGGAUACUACAGAGCUAGGAGGCAGGAGAGGCAAGCGGUACUCAGUGGGUAGGGGUAAAAAUCCGUUGAUCCAUUGAAGACCACCAGUGGCGAAGGCGGCUUGCCAGAAUGCGCUCGACGGUGAGGGAUGAAAGCUGGG